CCUCCAGGAUUAAGUUCAGAAGGCACAAAGAGGACCAUCAAUCAAAAAUGACAAGAUAGAGACAGCCAGCGAGAGAGGGA